UACGAAGGGUGCAAGCGUUAAUCGGAAUUACUGGGCGUAAAGCGUGCGUAGGUGGUUCGUUAAGUCUGUUGUGAAAGCCCUGGGCUCAACCUGGGAAUGGCGAUGGAUACUGGCGAGCUAGAGUACGGUAGAGGAUGGUGGAAUUCCCGGUGUAGCGGUGAAAUGCGUAGAGAUCGGGAGGAACAUCAGUGGCGAAGGCGGCCAUCUGGACCAGUACUGACGCUGAGGCACGAAAGCGUGGGGAGCAAACAGG
rnacentral:rRNA from 2 species